rnacentral:rRNA from 1 species
UUUGAUCCUGGCUCAGAUUGAACGCUGGCGGCAGGCUUAACACAUGCAAGUCGAGCGAGAAAGUCCUUCGGGGCGAGUAAAGCGGCGGACGGGUGAGUAACGCGUAGGAAUNUACCUGGUAGCGGGGGACAACGUAUGGAAACGUACGCUAAUACCGCAUACGCCCUACGGGGGAAAGCGGGGGACCUUCGGGCCUCGCACUAUCAGAUGAGCCUGCGUUAGAUUAGCUAGUUGGUAGGGUAAAGGCCUACCAAGGCGACGAUCUAUAGCCGGUCUGAGAGGAUGAUCAGCCACACUGGGACUGAGACACGGCCCAGACUCCUACGGGAGGCAGCAGUGGGGAAUAUUGCGCAAUGGGGGAAACCCUGACGCAGCCAUGCCGCGUGUGUGAAGAAGGCCUUAGGGUUGUAAAGCACUUUCAAUUGGGAAGAAAGGUUGUACUUUAAUAGAGUGCAACUGUGACNUUACCUUUAGAAGAAGCACCGGCUAACUCCGUGCCAGCAGCCGCGGUAAUAAGGG